rnacentral:rRNA from 1 species
UCAAAUGAAAAGGGCACAGGGCGGAUGCCUUGGCUCCAGGAAGCGAUGAAGGACGUGGCAAGCUGCGAUAAGCCUCGGGGAGAAGCAAACAUUNUUUGAUCCGGGGAUUUCCGAAUGGGGAAACCCGCCUGAGUCUCUCAGGCAUCGCUGGCUGAAUUCAUAGGUCAGCGAAGCGAACCCGGGGAACUGAAACAUCUAAGUACCCGGAGGAAAAGAAAUCAAACGAGAUUCCCUCAGUAGCGGCGAGCGAACGGGGAAGAGCCCAAACCACCCGGUACGCCGGGUGGGGUUGUAGGACCAUCACACGGGCAGGCAAAGGGUUAGCGGAAGCACUUGGGAAAGUGCGCCAGAGAGGGUUAGAGCCCCGUAGGCGAAAACCGUGAGCCGCCCGAUGGCACCUGAGUAGGACGGGACACGUGAAAUCCUGUUCGAAGCUGGGGGGACCACCCUCCAAGGCUAAAUAUUCCCUGGAGACCGAUAGCGAACCAGUACCGUGAGGGAAAGGUGAAAAGAACCCCGAUAAGGGGAGUGAAAUAGAUCCUGAAACCCUGUGUCUACAAGCAGUGGAAGCUCCUCAUGAGAGCGACCGCGUGCCUUUUGCAUAAUGAGCCAACGAGUUAAGGUCAGUGGCAAGGUUAAGUUGUUAACGGAGCCGAAGCGAAAGCGAGUCUGAAUAGGGCGUCGAGUCGCUGGCCUUAGACCCGAAACCGAGUGAUCUAGCCCCGUCCAGGUUGAAGCUUGGGUAAGACCAAGUGAAGGACCGAACCAGUAUACCUUAAAACGUAUUUGGAUGAGGUGGGGUUAGGAGUGAAAGGCUAAUCAAACUCGGAAAUAGCUGGUUCUCCCCGAAAUAUAUUUAGGUAUAGCCUCGAGAUAGGCUGCCGGAGGUAGAGCACUGAUUGGACUAGGGGGCCCACCAGCCUACCAAACCCAGUCAAACUCCGAAUGCCGGCAAGUCAUUUCUCGGGAGUCAGACGGCGUGAGCUAACUUUCGUCGUCGAAAGGGAAACAACCCAGACCGCCAGCUAAGGCCCCCAAGUAUCAGUUAAGUGUGAAAGGAUGUGGGAGCGCCCAGACAACCAGGAAGUUAGCUUAGAAGCAGCUACCUUUUAAAGAAAGCGUAAUAGCUCACUGGUCAAGCGAACCUGCGCCGAAAAUAUAACGGGGCUCAAACUGAUCGCCGAAGCUGCGGAAUCAAUAUGAUUGGUAGGGGAGCUUUCCCUGGGCGGUGAAGCUGGAUCGAAAGGGCCAGUGGAGCGCAGGGAAGUGAGGAUGUUGGCAUGAGUAACGAAAAUGCGGGUGAGAAACCCGCACGCCGAAAGUCCAAGGGUUCCCGUGGCCAUGUUAAUCAGCCCGGGGUUAGUCGGCCCCUAAGGCGAGGCCGAAAGGCGUAGUCGAUGGGAAACAGGCUAAUAUUCCUGUACUGAAAGUUGCGCGCGAUGGAGGGACGCAGCAGGAUAGGUCAGCCGGGUGACGGAUAUCCCGGUUUAAGGUCGUAGUCGGUCUGCUUAGGUAAAUCCGGGCAGGCAACGACGAGAACUGAUGACGAGAGGUUCGCCUCACAAAGUGAUUGAUUCCACACUGCCAAGAAAAGCUUCUAAGUAUAGUAACUUUCAACCGUACCCCAAACCGACACAGGUGGACAGGUAGAAAAUACCAAGGCGCUUGAGUGAUAUCACGUUAAGGAACUCUGCAAAAUAGCUCCGUAUCUUCGGUAGAAGGAGUGCCUCCAGUAUGUGAAUGGGCUCGCCCCAAGAGCAGACAGAGGCCGCAGUGAAAGGGCCCAGGCGACUGUUUAGCAAAAACAUAGCACUCUGCUAAAUCGUAAGAUGACGUAUAGGGUGUGACGCCUGCCCGGUGCCGGAAGGUUAAGAGGAGGAGUCAGCGCAAGCGAAGCUGCGAAUCGAAGCCCCGGUAAACGGCGGCCGUAACUAUAACGGUCCUAAGGUAGCGAAAUUCCUUGUCGGGUAAGUUCCGACCUGCACGAAUGGCGUAACG